AGGAUAGGAUUAUCCCACUUCGUUUAAAAAUGACUUCCUAGUUUGCUGUCAUCGAACUAGCUCUAACUUUCUACCAAAGCUCUUUUCCUAGCUAGGCUAGCACGCUGCUAGCUCAGUAGCUUGUUGGCUAUGUUGCAAGGAAUGCACAGAAGAGUCGAAACAAAAAACGAUAUUUUGUGCAACUUAGUUAUAUAUAUAGCUCUAUAUAAUUUAUACACCUAAUUCGACUACUUCUAAGAACACUGUGAAGGACACUGGUAUUUGGUCAUUUGUAUUCGACUACGUUUUAGUGAAAACCCCUUAGCAACUCCUUUCUCUGACUUGUAUUGUAAACAAGACCCUGGCUGCAGCAGGAUGUUACGCUUUUUAACAAUUUCCGCUUUUUUUUGUGCCACAACCAGAGAAUAGCUAACGGUGCCUAGCUGUUCUUGAUAACGUCGCAUAUCCCUGGUUCAUCAUCUCAUCGUCAGGUUGGCCAAAAAGGUAGGAAGGUACGUUGAUGGUGUGCAGUAGUCGUAGCCUUGACGGACAAAACUGAGUUAACAAGGAGUCGAAAUCUGUGACUAUGGAUGACGUAAAGAAUGCACCUCCUCCUCCACCACUUCCACCCCCCCAACGGUCACUCAACCAUCACUCCAAUACUUCCACCCCACCAUGCCCAGGCCAGGCCGUUGAGGCAGCCAUCCCAUUUGCUCCACAUGAGAGUGAAUACCCAGUCCAGGAAACCAACCCUACACCAGGGGCACUUCCUGGCACACAGACUGCCCAGCUCACUCAAGAGGACGAGCAAGCCAUUGGCAACUUAAUGGAUUUGGGACUGAAUAUGUCUUGGGACGAGGUACGUCAAGUAUACAUGGCCUGCAACAAAAACGCAGAAGUUGCAGCUGACAUUCUGAUUCCCUGAUUCCUCCAGCCCUUUAACCACUACACUACACCCCUCAGCUAAGCCCCCUAGCCUGCCUCAGUAAAAAAGAAUUCACAUUUGCACUUAAAGAAAAUGUUGUUUAGAUCAAUGGUCAUGUGAUGAAUAGCCCCGCACUGCAUGAAUGUAGAAUAAUUUGUAAUUGGUCAGAUAGGGCCGUAGGUGUUAAAGUACCAAAGCGCCUCUUUCAUGUUAUCCAUUUUCAAUAAACCUGGCAGUUUGAAACACUG